rnacentral:rRNA from 1 species
GUAGGUGGCAAGCGUUGUCCGGAAUUAUUGGGCGUAAAGCGCGCGCAGGCGGUUCUUUAAGUCUGAUGUGAAAGCCCACGGCUCAACCGUGGAGGGUCAUUGGAAACUGGAGAACUCGAGUACAGAAGAGGAAAGCGGAAUUCCACGUGUAGCGGUGAAAUGCGUAGAGAUGUGGAGGAACACCAGUGGCGAAGGCGGCUUUCUGGUCUGUAACUGACGCUGAGGCGCGAAAGCGUGGGGAGCAAACAGGGAUUAGAUACCCUGGUAGUCCACGCCGUAAACGAUGAGUGCUAAGUGUUAGGGGGGUUUCCGCCCCCUUAGUGCUGCAGCUAACGCAUUAAGCACUCCGCCUGGGGAUACGGCCGCAAGGCUG